rnacentral:rRNA from 1 species
UACGAAGGGGGCGAGCGUUGUUCGGAUUUACUGGGCGUAAAGGGCGCGCAGGCGGUUCGCUGUGUCCGAUGUGAAAGCCCCGGGCUUAACCUGGGAAUGGCAUUGGAAACUGGCGGGCUUGAGUGUGGCAGAGGGGGGUGGAAUUCCGCGUGUAGCAGUGAAAUGCGUAGAUAUCAGGAGGAACACCGGUGGCGAAGGCGGCUACCUGGACAGAAACUGACGCUGAGGCACGAAAGCUAGGGGAGCAAACAGG